AUGCAUCAGCCACAUCCAUGCUAUCUCCUAAAGCAGUCAUUCUGAAAACCAAUCUGGGGACAGUGCAGACUAAAUAAAAUUUCAUUUUGAUUUGGCCUCCCGCUGAGAAUGGGACUGCUUUGUUUCAGCCGACAGAACCAGCAAGCCAGAAAGGUGUUGAUAACACAAAUACUGACUUAACGGAAAAUUAUGAUGAAUUAUUUUUCUUAAGAGGGCAAUGUAAGUUGUGGUAAAGGAAAAUAAUCCUAGCUCCAGAAUGCUCUUACUCAUACUCCUGGGAGUAACCCACAAAAUCUUGGUGCAGAGAGCGGCCACGGGAGGUACCAGGAAACAUUGGGAUCAAAUAUGUUGUCCGAAUUGCGUGAUUAAACUG